UAAGGAAUAUUGGUCAAUGGACGCAAGUCUGAACCAGCCAUGCCGCGUGAAGGAUGAAGGUCCUCUGGAUUGUAAACUUCUUUUAUAGGGGGCGAAAAAAGGGAAAUCUUUCUCACUUGACAGUACCCUAUGAAUAAGCACCGGCUAACUCCGUGCCAGCAGCCGCGGUAAUACGGAGGGUGCAAGCGUUAUCCGGAUUCACUGGGUUUAAAGGGUGCGUAGGCGGGCGUAUAAGUCAGUGGUGAAAUCCUGGAGCUUAACUCCAGAACUGCCAUUGAUACUAUAUGUCUUGAAUAUGGUGGAGGUAAGCGGAAUAUGUCAUGUAGCGGUGAAAUGCAUAGAUAUGACAUAGAACACCUAUUGCGAAGGCAGCUUACUACGCCUAUAUUGACGCUGAGGCACGAAAGCGUGGGGAUCAAACAGGAUUAGAUACCCUGGUAGUCCACGCCCUAAACGAUGACUACUCGACGUGUGCGAUAAACGGUACGCGUCUGAGCGAAAGCAUUAAGUAAUCCACCUGGGGAAGUACGACCGCAGUUGAAACUCAAAUGAAUUGACGGGGUCAUAGCUG
rnacentral:rRNA from 1 species